rnacentral:rRNA from 1 species
UAAGGAAUAUUGGUCAAUGGACGCAAGUCUGAACCAGCCAUGCCGCGUGAAGGAUGAAGGUCCUCUGGAUUGUAAACUUCUUUUAUCUGGGACGAAAACGGGAUUUUUAUCUCAAUUGACGGUACCAGAGGAAUAAGCACCGGCUAACUCCGUGCCAGCAGCCGCGGUAAUACGGAGGGUGCGAGCGUUAUCCGGAUUUACUGGGUUUAAAGGGUGCGUAGGUGGGCUUAUAAGUCAGUGGUGAAAUCCCCGAGCUUAACUUGGAAACUGCCGUUGAUACUAUAGGUCUUGAAUUAUCUGGAGGUCAGCGGAAUAUGGCAUGUAGCGGUGAAAUGCUUAGAUAUGACAUGGAACACCAAUUGCGAAGGCAGCUUACUACAUAUAAAUUGACGCUGAGGCACGAAAGCGUGGGGAUCAAACA